CCAAACCCAUGGCAGCAGAUCUGCCAAGGUCUGCCAUGAGAGGUGACUGUAUAGUUCCUUUAAGGAAAAGCACCUUUAGUCAAUCUGCUUUCUCUGUGAGAGCUUCCCAUGUCUGGAAUACACUGCUAUCAGACACACAACUGUACCACCUAUCACACCUUCACAAAAAACAUGAAGACAUGGAUAAAGACCAAUCAGUCUAGUGAACAUAAAGACAUGGCUAAAGGCCAAUCAGUCUAGUGAACAUAAAGACACAGCUAAAGGCCAAUCAGUCUAGUGAACAUAAAGACACAGCUAAAGGCCAAUCAGUCUAGUGAACAUAAAGACAUGGCUAAAGGCCAAUCAGUCUAGUGAACAUAAAGACACAGCUAAAGGCCAAUCAGUCUAGUGAACAUAAAGACAUGGCUAAAGGCCAAUCAGUCUAGUGAACAUAAAGACACAGCUAAAGGCCAAUCAGUCUAGUGAACAUAAAGACACAGCUAAAGGCCAAUCAGUCUAGUGAACAUGAAGACAUGGCUAAAGGCCAAUCAGUCUAGUGAACAUAAAGACAUGGCUAAAGGCCAAUCAGUCUAGUGAACAUAAAGACACAGCUAAAGGCCAAUCAGUCUAGUGAACAUAAAGACAUGGCUAAAGACCAAUCAGUCUAGUGAACAUAAAGACACAGCUAAAGGCCAAUCAGUCUAGUGAACAUAAAGACACAGCUAAAGGCCAAUCAGUCUAGUAAACAUGAAGACACGGCUAAAGGCCAAUCAGUCUAGUGAACAUAAAGACACAGCUAAAGGCCAAUCAGUCUAGUGAACAUGAAGACACAGCUAAAGGCCAAUCAGUCUAGUGAACAUAAAGACAUGGCUAAAGGCCAAUCAGUCUAGUGAACAUAAAGACACAGCUAAAGGCCAAUCAGUCUAGUGAACAUAAAGACACAGCUAAAGACCAAUCAGUCUAGUGAACAUAAAGACAUGGCUAAAGGCCAAUCAGUCUAGUGAACAUAAAGACAUGGAUAAAGACCAAUCAGUCUAGUGAACAUAAAGACACAGCUAAAGGCCAAUCAGUCUAGUGAACAUAAAGACAUGGCUAAAGGCCAAUCAGUCUAGUGAACAUGAAGACACGGCUAAAGGCCAAUCAGUCUAGUGAACAUGAAGACAUGGCUAAAGGCCAAUCAGUCUAGUGAACAUAGGGUUUGAGCUUGCCCUCGCCUCCCUACCUUGUCCGCCCGAGGCUAUCGAUUUUAGCUUACUCCCUCCGGACCAUUGACAACCUCUUGUACGCCCUAUGUGCUCUGGGCAGACCCCUAGUGGAGCCCCCUUAGUAUGUGCCAUCUAAUCUUAUCAAUACUUCAAUAUAAAAUCAAUAGAAAGUAGGUAUAAAGACAAGGCUAAAGACCAAUCAGACUAGUGAACAUAAAGACAUAGCUGUGCAUUGCAGCUCUCCAUGUUGUCUGUAGCUGGUGAGAUGUGCAUUGCCUCUCCAUGUUGUCUGUAGCUGGUGAGAUGUGCAUUGUCUCUCCAUGUUGUCUGUAGCUGGUGAGAUGUGCAUUGUCUCUCCAUGUUGUCUGUAGCUGGUGAGAUGUGCAUUGUCUCUCCAUGUUGUCUGUAGCUGGUGAGAUGUGCAUUGUCUCUCCAUGUUGUCUGUAGCUGGUGAGAUGUGCAUUGUCUCUCCAUGUUGUCUGUAGCUGGUGAGAUGUGGAAACACUUGCUUUUAUUUUGUUUUGUUGCAUUUUGUGCUAUUUUUCUGUCUGCAUGCAACGUGUUGAUUGUCCUAUGUUGCUCUGUCUGUCUGCAUGCUAAGUGUGGCUUGUCCUAUGUUGCUCUGUCUGUCUGCAUGCUAAGUGUGGCUUGUCCUAUGUUUCUCUGUCUGUCUGCAUGCUAAGUGUGGAUUGUUCUAUGUUUCUCUGUCUGUCUGCAUGCUAAGUGUGGAUUGUCCUAUGUUGCUUUGACUGCAUGCUAUGUGUUGCUUCUCCUAUGUUGCUCUGUCUGUCUGCAUGCUAUGUGUUGCUUCUCCUAUGUUGCUCUGUCUGCAUGCUACGUGUUGCUGGUCCUAUGUUGCUCUGCGUGUGGCCACUGCUCAUUGUUUGUCUGUAUUGUUAUUGGAAUUGUUUUUAAUAACCAGCCCAGGGACUGAGGUUGAAAAUUAGCUAAAACCGACACUUUUACUGAAACAUUGAUUAAUGUGCACUGUCCCUGUAAAAAUCAAAAUUAACUCAAACUGUCUGUAGGAGCGAACCAUUAUCGUGAACGGGGUGGUGUACUUAAUAAACUGGCCAGUGAGUAUAUAGUUAUUACUAAGUGUGUAUAUAUUGUAUGUAUGUGUGUGUUCUGAUGAGAUGUAUUUAUUAUUGUUCAGUGUCUUAUACCAGAAUGUGAAUAAAGGUUCAACUGAA
rnacentral:lncRNA from 1 species